CAUACAUCAACAUGGUGAAUAUUUAAAAGUAUUAUGCAAAGUGAAAGACACCAAGCAUUAAAAGCUACAGCGCUUCCAUUUAUAUGAAAUUCCAGAAAAGAUGAAAUGAAGGAGGGAAGUCAGAUCAGUGGUUGCUAGAGGUUGAGGGUUGUGGGAGGCAAAUGACUACAGAGGGGCUCCUUUAAAAAGGUGGAUUUUUGUGUUACAUAAAUUAUAUAUAUACCACAACAACCAUAACUCUAAAAAUAUAUAAACUCAAAUCUUUAUUUUUACAUUCACCAGACUUGAAAUCACUCUGUCAAAUGCUGUUGAAGUUUCUGAACACUUAACUCUCCCUGUGCUCAUCCUGUCAUCCUGUGUCACCCUGGCUGGUGGCGAACAGGACAAGUAUACAGCUUGAGCUUUUGUACCCUGUUGGUAGACCAGCAUAGAAAGACACCACAUAAGAAUAGAUUGGAAGGGCAUGGAAAGAAAUAACAGUGCUAGGGGAGAUGUACAUUCAUCGUCAGUAAAAUCCUUUUUUAGUUGGAGUGACAUCUUCUAGAGGAAGUAAUUUUAAGAAUAACUUUCAGAUUGGAUUUCUUUUGUCUGCUGAAAAGGAGAGGACUCACAGCUUGGAGGCAAGAGAUUUGAACUUUAAUUAUCUUGCUACUUGUACUUAUAGUCAAAUUUUCAUUGUUUCUU
rnacentral:lncRNA from 1 species